CCUGGAUUACCUUUUGCUUAUUCGAAUAUAUCAAUGUGCUAUUGUGCUAGUUUGGAUCCCUGGGUUGUCUUCCCAUUUCGCGUAGAAAUAUUAUAUCGUGCUCUCUCCGUUUGAAGUAAACAUGCAUUGCGUGCUAGCAGAACAACGCCACUGGUAUGUUCUGUGUACGUUCACAUCGCAGAAGCUUGCUUAUGCGCAGACUCAGAAGAACCCAUUUUGACACACAUUUCAAAACAAAUUCUUGAGGAGACGCCAUUAAAGACAUUCUCAGGGAGUAUCACAUAAAAAAGAAAUGUAUUACAGAGCGCAAUGGAUGGCAUGACAUGCUAGCAGUGUAUGGAGCUCCGUGUCUGCAUAAACACGUGGAAAUUGCAGAGCAAGCCGUGAGACGCAAGCUGUUAAUCGUCGAACACACAAUAGGUUGGAGAUCGAACCAAACUGCAUUGAAUGCAUGCAGAAAACCCAGUGAAUUGUGCACACGGUUGAGCUUAGCACUGUAUUCGGUUAGGCAGCAAUAUUUAGUUAUGUGUCCCUAACUGUGCCGAUGCGAUGGCAUGCGUUAAGCAUUGGCAAUGUAGACAACGGAAUUCUCACAUUUUAAAUGAACUAAUUUAGUA